rnacentral:rRNA from 1 species
UACGUAGGUGGCGAGCGUUAUCCGGAAUUACUGGGCGUAAAGCGCACGCAGGCGGUCUGUUAAGUUUGACGUGAAAGUUCCCGGCUCAACUGGGAGAGGUCGUUGAAAACUGGCAGACUUGAGGCAAUGAGAGGGAUGCAGAAUUCCAGGUGUAGUGGUGGAAUGCGUAGAUAUCUGGAGGAAUACCAGUGGCGAAAGCGGCAUCCUAGCGUUGUACUGACGCUCAUGUGCGAAAGCGUGGGGAGCAAACGGG